CCCAGUUUCCUUCCCUGAGCUUUAGGACGGGUCCCGCCCGGGGCUUGGAAGCCCACAACCCUGCGGCAGCAAAAGGCAAAGGGCGGGAGGAGAGCUACAAAGGAGGCCGGUGGCCGCAGCCAGAGUCAGCCCCCAGCCGUGGGUAACCUUGGAGGCGCCCUCGAUAGACAUUAAAAUAACAGCUUGGUCUCGGCCAGCAAGUGAGCAAAGGUUAUCCCAGCUACCACAGCACCUGCAGAAGCACAAGUGGAACUCACACAUUUUGCUUCCCGUGUUCUAAAAUGGAUUCUGAGCCAUCCAGAGAAAUCCGCACAGAGGGGAACCUGAGAACAGAGGUGUACAUAUUAAAAAUUACACAGGUGAGCUCCUUUUCACUGAUGAUCCAGAGAGGAUGUGAGUUAAAAUCUUAGAACCGAAAGCACCGAACAGCUCCUACUUCUGCCUGAUUCUCUUGAAAGACCUUGUAGCAUAAUCUAAGGUCAGCAAAUGAAGUUUCUGGCUACCAACAUAAAAGAACUUUAAGAAUCAGUUCCCUGUAGGGAAAAAUAACAUCUCAAAAUAAAAGGAUGGAAAUAGCACACAUUUUUUUAAGCAGAAAAUAUUAUACAGAGGAUCAAGCAACAGAAUAUACUGAAGAAAAAUAAGAUCAAAGCAUUGGACAUAAAAAACAACCUCCAGAAUGACAAUGAUAUUAAAUCAGCUAACAGAAAUGUCACCUCUCACAAAUUCACAAAAUUCAUUUACUGAUUUGAAGAAAAGGAUUUCCAAGAAAAACUAUUUAAAUCUCCUUCCUUUAGAUCAAAAGAUUACUGGAAAGCAACAUGAAUAUCCGGAAAAAAAAAAAUCCAGUGGUCUCUGUGUGGGUCUCUGACAGCAAUUUUUUAAAGAUUUCUGAGAUUGUUUCAAUGUAAUUGUGCAUAUAUUAGCAUUUUGAAAAGGUUCUCCAUAAAACCUUGGAUUAUACAGAAUUGUGUCAUCAUUUGCAGACUAAUAAAUUAUGUACACAUAAGAGACAUA